UUGGCAAAAAAAAUCUAGACCUUUUACAGGUUUUCUUCUUGAAGCUAAAUGCUAUCAGUGCUGUGUGGUGCAUUCUGGUCUAAAUUUACCUAUUUGUGUUUAGAGCUCUCAAUAAAGUUUUAGUGAGAACUUGACUAACAGAGUAACUGUUUAUGUUGCUAGUUCUGAUUGGUUUAAGCAUUGCAAAAUUUGGGAUGUAGUGUUGAAAGCUGUUUGAAGAGGUGAAAGAAACUGAAAUUGUGCAAGCGUAAAUUUGUAAAAAGAGAAAUUAAAUUUUUGGACCAUAAAAUUAAUGAAAUAGGAGUACAUCCAGGCCUAGAAAAAUUAUGUUAUUUUGCAGAUUUUCCAGCACCUAAAACCAGAAAAGAUCUUCAAGCAAUAGUCAAAUGAAACUAUAUGGUUGCUGAGCCUUUUCACUUCUCAAACAUCUACAAUAUACUUACAUGCAGACUGAAGCCAAGUUUCAAAUCUGGACAUCAGUACAAAUUUUCAUAGGUCAGUUCAGUCUGAAUAUUUGCAUCAUAGACUUUAACCUAUGUUUGGUCUACCCUGAUUUUGAAUUACACUUGUGUAUGAGCACAAGCAUAAUUUUUUGUGGUUUGAAGGUCAAAGUUUUUCAGUACAAACUGAUGCAGGGAUUGAAAGCAGGAGCACCACAUUUGCAAGGUGUGCCUUUGUAAAUAAUUUUUGUGUUUAAAAAAUUUGAAUGUUAUUUAAGAAAAUAGUCCACAGAGACCAUAAUGAUUUAAUUGUUUUACAGCAUUGUGGGCUGAAACAUCCUAGAGGGGGGAGUUGUAUCUCAAACACUUUGAGCUUGACAUUUGGUACAGUAAGGGAAAAUGAAAUAUUAUAGCUGAUGAUAUAUCUUGCACCCCAUCAGGAAGAAGGAAUGAUAACAGUAAUGAGGACAAUGGGCAUCAGUUUAUUUUAUUUACAGGCAACAAAAGAUAAGAAAUUAAUCAAGUGAUUUGUAAUCAGAUGAGGAAAGGACAAAAUAAGGAUCCAUAUUUGAGGCUAGUUAGGCAGUAUUAAAACUGAAAUUCAGAACCAAAGGUAGGACACUAAUACACAGUACGUAAAGGACUUCUCUUAAGGAAAAUAACUCUACAUGAACUGCAGAGGAAAUUGUUUUUUCUAGGACAAAAUAUUGACAAGUUAAUUGUCUACCUUUGUGGAAGGUAUGGGCACUGUUACAGUAGAAAAAUUGUAGCCAAGAUUCAAGAAACAGUAAAAUUUAACAACUCAUAGCAAAGGAUUAAACAAAAAUUGCAUGUAUGUGAUAAAUGUCAAAGGGUGAAAACUACUGGCAACCCAUCAAAAGGUCUAAUGCAUUCAGUUCUUUGUAAUGAGUCAAAGGAGUUAAUUUCGGUGGAUUUAUGAGGCUUCCUCACAGUAUCUACGGGAUGUUGCAGAUACAUUUUGGACUUUUAGACCCUUUUCCAAACAAGUCAACUUUGCUGAUAUUUUGUUAUGGACAUAAGGCCAUGAUGUACGGCAUAAUUCUCUGCCUAACAUUUCAUCUUCCACUGCUGGAGACUUCAUCAGAGUUUUUAAAGACUCAGAAAGCUGUUACAGACUCAAAACAAACUCAGUAAACUGAACUGUAUAUAUGUAUUCAGACAUAAAUAAUGUGAGGCAACUUAUUGACAAACUAUUUAAAAGAUGACACUACAGUCAGGAACAGUCUGAUAUUUUAUAGGAUAAAUGAUGGUACUAAUGAAAGUCUGUGAGAAAUUAUUUAGUCAAGGUAACUAAAAUAUUAAUUGAUGCAAUGACUUAUUAAAUCUAAACUUACACUGUUUGCAUCUUAUGUAGCGUGACUGUUUUUCUAACAUAAAUUAAAAACUGCUGAGAUCUUCACUAACUACAUUUGCAUUAUCAGGACAAUUAAUUUGUAUAUUUCAGAAGAGAUCAAUUGAGAAUUGCUCUUGUACUAAAAUACAUAAUUUGUUUGUCUUUUCAUGUCUACAAGUACUAAGCAUCACCUUGGCCAGAGACACAAGUGAAAAUGUAAGCCAGCCUUUCCCAAAUUUGGCAGCCUGCCUCCUGCCAGCACACAGGCUCAAAAUGGUUCAAAUGGCUCUGAUCACUAUGGGACUUAACAUGUGAGGUCAUCAGUCCCCUAGAGUUUGGAACUACUUAAAACUAACUAACCUAAGGACAUCACACUCAUCCAUGCCUGAGGCAGGAUGCGAACCUGCGACCAUAGUGGUCAUGUGGUUUCAAACUGAAGCACCUAGAACUACUUGGCAAGUGGCCAACAGUACACAGGAUAUCUUCUCAGUACAGCAAGAUACGAGUCAUCAAGAUUUGUCAAAACUGAGUGCAACAUCAAACAACAGGAAAGGAGUCCAUCACAAGACCUCUGAUUGAACUGACUCCAGGAUGUGCUGCCUUCCUGGUGGACAAACACAGAUGCUUACACCCUCCAUUGACAGUGGCUAACUUCAUCACAGGGAUCACCAGUCUCCUCACCAGCUAUGAUUUCAUCUCUGUAACUGUCAUGAAUAAAAGAGUCUCUUAAUCACAGAUAUUUUAUCAGUCGACUACAGCCAGCAGCACCACUGCAACCUUUGUCCAGUAGGGGGAAUGGCACUCCAUCCUGACUUGCCAGCAGCUCAAUUAACCCACCACUAUAGUAGUCAUAUGGCAACGGCCUUGUUGCAGUGGAUACACCGGUACCCGUGAGACCACCGAAGUUAAGCGCUGUCGGGCGUGGACGGCACUUGUAUGGGUGACCAUCCAGGCUGCCAUGCACUGUUGUCAUUUUUCGGGAUGCACUCAGCCUUGUGAUGCCAAUUGAGGAGCUACUCGACCGAAUAGUAGCGGCUCCGGUCAAAGAAAACCAUCAUAACGGCCGGGAGAGCGGUGUGCUGACCACACACCCCUCCUAUCCGCAUCCUCAUCUGACACGGCGGUUGGAUGGUCCCAAUGGGCCACUUGUGGUCUGAAGACGGAGCGCAUAGUAGUCAUAUGCUAACCUCUACAUUAUGCAAAUUUCAUUAGAGAAGUAACAAUUUUUCUCAGUAUGUAGACCUAUUUUUAUG